ACUCGCGUUUAUAAAUUCAACAACAUGAAGCCAACUAUCUCAUUCCCCAUUUCCACUUCUCUCUCAAAAUUUCUCUUUCAUAAAUCAUUUCCCAUAUCUCAUUCUCUACUCUAUCUCUCUAUACUCUCUCUCUCUCUCUCUCUCUCUCUCUCUCUCUCUCUCUCUCCCUCCCUCUCAAAAUUUCCCUUUCACUCUUGCACCACCAUCGUGCUACUUCUACACCACCAUCACGCCGCCACUGCCUUUCCUCCUUCAAUUCGGCUGUGUUUUCAAUCAUUACUCUAUACAACAACGAUAAGUUAGCCCUUUUAAUUAUUUAUUUAUUGAAGUUAAAAACAAAAAUCAUCUAUAUUAUCGAUCAAAAAACUACUAAUAUAAAUAUUAAAAAAAAUCUAUAUCAUUAAAUGACUACUAUAUUGUUUACAUCACACAAGAUUGAUAAUAAUAUGUAUCUUUGCUUUAAAGGGAGGAUUAUAACAUCUUAUUGAUUUCAAAUAAUUUUUUAUUAUAAAAUUAAUUAGAAGUUUCUUUUGCUUUCUAACAAGAUCUCCCAACCAUGAAAAUAAAUUCCAAUUCAUGGUUUAAUUUCGUCAAUUGCUCUUUGGACUUUGUAAUCUUCUACAUCAAAUAGCUUUCAUGGUUUAACUUCUUCUUACCUUGCUCAAAUUCAUAAUAGUUUUUGUAUUUUGUUAUAAUCCUUUGGAUCUCCCAUGGGAAAGGCCAAACCUCUGGCCGAGAAUGAAAAUCGAGAUAAAGUAUAUCACAAACAUCAAUCCUACAAAAGGUGGUGAUUUCAUCAAUCUUCUUGAUUAAACCUUUUUUUCUUUUGUUGUAAAUUAUUCUCCUAAUCACUAACCAUGAAUACUAGUUUCAACUUUUUUGAAACCAUGGAUAUGAAAACUUUUUUCUUGUGUGAAGAAAACCAUACAAGAAUUUUUUUUUCACAUCUACCGUUAAUUUGAAAAAAGUUGAAACUAGUAUUUGUGAUUAGUGAUCCUGCUAGGAGGACAACUUAUAACGAAAGAAAAAAGGGUUUAACCAAGAAGAUUGAUGAAUUCGGCACCCUUUGUAGGAUUGAUGUUUGUGAUAUACUUUAUAUCAAUUUUCAUUAGGGGCCAGAGGUCAGGCCUUCUCCAUGGGAGGUCCAAAGGAUUAUCACAAAAUACAAAAAUUAUUCUAAAUUUGACCAAGGUAAGAAGCUGAACCACGAGAGCUAUUUGAUGCAAAGGAUUACGAAGUCCAAAGAGCAAUUGACAAAAUUGGAGCAAAAUAAUUGGAAAAUGCAUAAGUCCUUGAUCUUAUAUCAAUGUCUUCUCAAAGAAAAUUUGAUCAACACUCUAAACAAUUGGAAAAUGCAAUUAUUGUCGCUCUGAAUUUGGUUGAUAAGAAUAACAAAGAGAAUGAAAUAGAUGUUCUUGAGGGGCAUCUAAAGAAAUUGGAGAGCAUGCAUGUUGAAACACCUUAUUGCCAAGACUUCUUAUAAUUUUAUUUUUCUUUGUUAAAUUUGAAGUGUUUAAUGCAAGCUUUUUUGUUGGUUGUAACCUAUAAUGUUUGACAUAUUUAAUUUUAAACUUUCAUUGUGUUAUUUUGAUGUGAAUUGAACUAUAUUUAGCUCUCUCAUGUUACAUUAUAUAAUAAAAGACUCAUUUUUUAUAAGUCUUUUUUUUUUUGUCUUGCUCGAUGAAAAUGUGGAUGUGGACAGAAAAUCUCAUAUAGCAAAACCUUCAUUUAUAGAGAGAUCCAAGAGGAGUUGAAAGAGAAGUCUUGAAUCAAAGUUUCUUCUCUCGGUUGAAGUUUCAUGAAUGUAGUGUAGGAUUUGGAAAAUUGGAAUAAGAACGGUGAGUUCAGUGUUGGAAGUGAAAUCGGCUAUGUCAAUCCCUUUACUCUUGUUAGAAAAAUGUGAUUCACUAUCAUUUGGCACUUCUCUUUAAAAGGAGUAAGCUACAAUUGAUGCAGAUAAGUCGGAAAAUGAAGAACUUGAUAAGGAACAAGAAGUUGACAGUGAUAUUAACUAUGAAAAAAUGCUUGUGAGAAUCCAAUGGAAGGUAACACCCCUACUAGUUGACUACAUUUCCAACGUUGUACAAGUUAAUUUAUGGAUAUCUCAUAAUUCUUGUGAUAUUGGAAUGUUAACUAGAAAACUAAUUUAUGGUGAUAUUGGAAUGUUUAGCUUGAGAUGAAAUCUAGCUUACCAAACAACAUUAUAAGAAAAGCAACUCAUGAUUGAAGCCAAAACGCACGUUUAAGCCUUCUCAA